rnacentral:rRNA from 1 species
ACUAACAAGGAUUCCCCUAGUAACGGCGAGUGAAGAGGGAAGAGCCCAAGAUUGAAAGCUGGCGUCUUUGGCGUCCGCAUUGUAAUCUCAAGAAGUGUUUUCCGCUUCGGACCAUGCCUAAGUCCCUUGGAAAAGGGCAUCAUAGAGGGUGAUAAUCCCGUACAUGGCAUGGAGCGCCCGAGGCUUUGUGAUACGCUUUCUAAGAGUCGAGUUGUUUGGGAAUGCAGCUCAAAAUGGGUGGUAAAUGCCAUCUAAGGCUAAAUAUUGGGGAGAGACCGAUAGCGAACAAGUACAGUGAUGGAAAGAUGAAAAGAACUUUGAAAAGAGAGUUAAACAGUACGUGAAAUUGCCAAAAGGGAAGGGUAGGAGGUCAGAGAUGCGUCUUGGGAUUCAGCCUUGCUUCUGCUGGGUGUUUUUCCCAAGUUUGCAGGCCAACGUCGGUUUUGGGCACUGGAGAAGGGUGGAAGGAACGUGGCACCUCUCGAGGUGUGUUAUAGCCUUCCACUGGAUACAGCGACCGAGACCGAGGACAGCAGCGUACUCGCAAGAGCGGGCCUUCGGGCACCUUUACGCUUAGGGCGUUGGCAUAAUGGCCCUCUACCACCCGUCUUGAAACACGGACCAAGGAGUCUAACAUGUAUGCGAGUCUUUGGGUGGCAAACCCAUAGGCGCAAUGAAAGUGAAUUCAGGUGGGAUCCGCAAGGUGCACCAUCGACCGAUCCUCACGUCUUUCAAGUCGUGGAUUUGAGUAAGAGCAUACCUGUUGGGACCCGAAAGAUGGUGAACUAUGCCUGAAUAGGGUGAAGCCAGAGGAAACUCUGGUGGAGGCUCGUAGCGGUUCUGACGUGCAAAUCGAUCGUCAAAUUUGGGUAUAGGGGCGAAAGACUAAUCGAACCAUUAGAAAUUGCGUAAAAACAUUUCUACUGCGUCUCAAACGUAUGUGGGCGUUUUUUGAAUGCGGUAGAGUGUGGAUACAUUGCUAGGUGGUUAAGAGGUGGCUAAAAGGGCACACCUAGUGGGCGCUGAAGCUCGCGACACUGUCAAAAUGCGGGGACACCCUAAAGCUUUCAAUACCAAGCCGGCGUGGAAACACAGUCGGUGGCCGAGUUAACAACCCUGGGUAUGGUAAAAACUUGAAAGAUGCAACAAUGGGCAAUCCGCAGCCAAGCUCUAAGGGUGUAUCAAAACGCCUAUGAGUGCAGUUCACAGACUAGAUGGCAGUGGGUUUCGUCUUCGGAUGAGGCUUAAGAUAUAGUCGGUCCUCUCUCGAAAGGGAGCCGGAGGAUAAAAGAUCGAGGUUCUUCAGCAACAGACCUCUUUCCGGAGCCUCUGGGAAUUGAUUUUUCGCAAGGAAAAUCGAUUUUGGGUGCUACGCUAGUAGCUGGUUCCUGCCGAAGUUUCCCUCAGGAUAGCAGAAACUCACAUCAGUUUUAUGAGGUAAAGCGAAUGAUUAGAGGCCUUGGGGAAGUAACUUCCUUAACCUAUUCUCAAACUUUAAAUGUGUAAGAAGCCCUGUUACUUUAAGUGAACGAGGCAUG